GCGGGCAUAGCUUAAUGGUAAAGUCCCAGCCUUCCAAGCUGGUCAUGCGGGUUCGAUUCCCGCUGCCCGCUCCA
rnacentral:tRNA from 2 species